UCCGUGCCUGACCAACUGAGCCACCACGACACCCCUAUUUCUGUUGUGGAGCUGACCUCAUCUACUAACUGAAGACAAUACCGAAGAAGGCAGAAUGGGUGAUGUAGUUUGAGCUCCUAGGGUCAGCCAUUACUGAACAUUAGUUAACCAAUAACUUGCUUUUUUUAUGUUUAAGUUAAUCUGUGCUAUGUUUCUGGCACAGGUGACCCAAACAAUCUGGACUAGUAAUACAUGCUUCUACUUGUAUUGCAAAAUAUCUUCCCUUUCAACCCAUCUCCAUAACUAUUAGCAGCCUACAUCCUAAGUAGCAGAGGACGAGGGAAGACAGCUUACCGGUAAAACUUUCUGAUCUUCAUUGCCACUUGAGAGAUGCUCUUAUGGGGGUGGGAGUAUAUGUCUUCAGGCAUCUCAUCUGUUGAUCACUGUAUCCUUGAUCAGCACCCAAAAACCCUCACCCAGAUCAAAAUAGAAGUUUCCCUUGCUGUCUGAGAGUUUGCUUUAUGACAGUUUGCUUUUACAAAAGACCUACAUCAGUACCCAUUCUUUUGCUAACUGAAAGAUAUUUGAAGAUGACUUUUGCUUCUACAAAAUGGUAAUUCUUUUCCAUUCACAACAUUUCAACUUAUGCAAGUUUUCAUAGGAACGUUCUGUUUUCAGAUAGUGAAGGAAAACUUGUAUCCUACUUGACCUCUAAGACAGGAAAAUGCCAAACAGAAUCUUGGAGUAAUUUUCAAGCGUUUACUUUGGAGAAGUAAGAAUUAUACUGUUUAGAUAGAUUUGUUUUGAACUGUUCAGUAGAUCAGGAUGUUGAUGGUUGAUGUUGAUGUUUAGUCUUUAAUGACACAUAGAACUGGUCAGUAAGAUUUGGCCAUACAAAUGUUUUCACUCUUAAGCUUCAGUGAACUAUUUCUUCCUCUAAGUGAGAUCAAUUAAUUGAACCCAUUAUACUUAGCCCCCAUUUCAGUAGGUCUUCAGAAGGAAUAAGUGCAUGAGACACAAGCCCUUGACUCUAAUGUGUCAGCCAUGGCUCCUGGAGUGUCCACAUGGAUCCAACAACUGGACUGAAGAAUGGGGCAGCCGCGCUGUAGUUCUGGCCCAGGAGGGGUAAUCCAAUUCACACCCACUGUGCACCAUGUCCAUCACACAUCACAGUGAGAGGACUGUGUUGAGGGCCUGGCACCAAGUUAGCACAUCUUCCGUGAGAAUGGUUAGAAGCUCUUGCCUUUCUCAUCCUCGUCCUGAUGACUUCCCACCAGAAACAUGAUGAAUUUAAUGGCCAGAAGCUGGACGUGGGAGAGAGCAACUUCCCUGGGGCGGCAGACUAAGUGCGGGGGCUCCGUGGAGACCUGCCGGGGGAGGUGCAGACACGGAAUGGAUAAUGAUCAGUUUUACAAAGGUAACAGCCAUGCUCUUUAUAAAAAUUCAAAUGUGACAGAGACAUAUAAUGGAGAAAUGUAAGACAUCCCAACCAACCAUCCACAGGUGAUUUUUUGGGAGGACCGCUCAUUUGUAAUCGGAAACACGUCAGCCAGGUAGCUGUUCCAGGAGAAGAAUCUCCAGGAAAUGGCUGGACAUUGCGACAACGGGACGCUGGGAAGCAAAUGUUUCUUCCUCCUAUGGAGUGGGGAUAUGCUCUGUGACUCGGGAUGAAUCCACGGAGGCACCUUUGGUCUUAGAUGUAGGCACUGACUACCUGGAAGGGGUGUCCAAGGCUUUGGGGGACAACACUCUCUGGUCUGUUUUGGAAAUAGCUCCUUUAACAGGCUUUCAUCCAUUGUUCCUGGGCUAUUACAUGUUACUUGUAAGGGCUCCUACUUUCAGGAGCUUCAGAUAAAAGCCUGCUUUACAUCAGGGAGAAGCGUGGUUUUGCAAAAUGUUGUUGUAAUCAGAAUGAGCUGCUAACAGAAGUUUCUUGGUUCUAUGUGUGAUCUCUUUAUGUGUGAUGCUUCCUGUGUCAUGUUAGAGUCCAUAAACUAUGAACCCUGGGCUGCUUCCAGCCUGUUGCUUGUUUCUCCGUGGCCAGCAAGUUCAGAAAGAAGGAUGUUUCCAUUUUUAAAUGGUGGAGGACAAAAUCAAAAGAAGAGUAGCAUCUUGUGAUAUGUGAAACUCCUAUGAAAUUGAAAUUUCAGGGUCCAUAAAUAAAGUUUUGUUGGA